rfam:Arabidopsis thaliana chromosome 1, complete sequence.
CAAAAAGCAGGGUUCUGUUUUAUAUAACAGACCUCACGUAAAUGUCAGGAAAAUCGAAUUGGUCAUUGUGAAUGGGUGAGCCAAUGUUACUUCUAAUAGCAUAUGGUUCAGUACAUGAUGGUACAUUU